rnacentral:rRNA from 1 species
CCUACGGGUGGCAGCAGUGGGGAAUAUUGGACAAUGGGGGCAACCCUGAUCCAGCCAUGCCGCGUGUGUGAAGAAGGCCCUCGGGUUGUAAAGCACUUUCAGUGAGGAAGAACGCCUGGUGGUUAAUACCCAUCAGGAAAGACAUCACUCACAGAAGAAGCACCGGCUAACUCCGUGCCAGCAGCCGCGGUAAUACGGAGGGUGCGAGCGUUAAUCGGAAUUACUGGGCGUAAAGCGCGCGUAGGUGGCUUGAUAAGCCGGUUGUGAAAGCCCCGGGCUCAACCUGGGAACGGCAUCCGGAACUGUCAAGCUAGAGUGCAGGAGAGGAAGGUAGAAUUCCCGGGGUAGCGGUGAAAUGCGUAGAGAUCGGGAGGAAUACCAGUGGCGAAGGCGGCCUUCUGGACUGACACUGACACUGAGGUGCGAAAGCGUGGGUAGCAAACAGGAUUAGAUACCCCUGUAGUC